UGAGGAAUAUUGGGCAAUGCCCGCAAGGGUGACCCAGCAACGCCGCGUGGAGGAUGAAUGUCGUAAGAUUGUAAACUCCUGUUAGAGGGGAAGAAUAGUACCGGUUGGACCGGUAUAUGACUGUACCCUCAGAGAAAGCCCCGGCUAACUACGUGCCAGCAGCCGCGGUAAUACGUAGGGGGCAAGCGUUGUCCGGAUUUACUGGGUGUAAAGGGCGCGCAGGCGGGAUAAAAAGUCAGUGGUGAAAUCCUACAGCUUAACUGUAGAACUGCCUUUGAUACUUUUAUUCUUGAGUUCGGGAGAGAGAGACGGAAUUCCAGGUGUAGUGGUGAAAGACGUAGAUAUCUGGAAGAACACCAGUUGCGAAGGCGGUCUCUUGGUCCGACACUGACGCUGAGGCGCGAAAGCGUGGGGAGCAAACA
rnacentral:rRNA from 1 species